UAGAAAUGCUUUCAAUCUUGGCUGGAUCUAAGGAUGAUGCAAUUAAUGCUUCCAUUGCUUUGUUUUUAGAGACCUCGUGCCCAGUAUCAACCAGAGAAUCCCUCUCUUCAUCCAACUGUUUUUCUCUGGAUGAACCAAACGUCCCACGAAUCCUGGUUCACCUUGGGGCGCUCCACCACCAUCAAUCAGCCUAAUCUGCUGCUCCUGUGUAGGUUGUUGAUUGUCAAUAGAAGCUUCUUUUGGAGAAUUGCAAUUUGUGGAAUUUGAACUAGCUUCAUGUUUGUCUUGACGCGCUCCACCACUAUCAAUCAACCCAAUAUGCUGCUCUUGUGUAGGCAUGGCAUGAACAUAAACAUGGUUGGCCAAGGAUAACUUGCAAAUGAAGCACUCAUGAUGGAAGCAAGCAAACAUGAACAAUGGAGUGAUGGAUUAAGGGUGUUGUUAUGUUAACACAAGUUGGCGGCUAACCUCAACUUUUACUUCACCAUUCCGCUUCUGUUUCGAUAGGAACAACUGUUGGUUUUGACGGCGUGCAUCAUCUAUAUGUGCUACAUGAGAUGCUUUGGACUCGUUAUCUUCUUGAGCAUUACUGGAUGAGACAUCCACCUCCACGGAUGAUGACAAAUUUCAGGUAUAGUAGCCGGGAGUGGUUGUGGGUUGUCAGAAUAAUCUCCGUCCACAGGCGGAACUGAAGCAUUUUGAUUGCUUCAGUUCUGCUCCGCUACAGUUUCAAGCUAUUGUCUUGAGUUACCUGCAUAAUGCCUUCUUGUACCAGAAGCUGGGAAAGAAAGCUGCUUCUUAGCAGGAGUACUUGGCACUUUGCUUUUAGUCUUUGCAACCUUUGCAGGUGCUGGAAGUACGCUCCUUGAAGCUAGAGUUUGAUGACUUGGUUUUUGGCUUGUAGGAGAGUUUUUACUAUCUUGAUUUUGAUCUCUUAGAGCAUACAAUUUGGAGAUUUCUCCAACUCACAUAGUGUGAUUUGCAGCAC